rnacentral:rRNA from 1 species
UUGUUGGUAAGGUAAAAGCUUACCAAGGCUUCGAUCAGUAGCUGGUCUGAGAGGACGACCAGCCACACUGGGACUGAGACACGGCCCAGACUCCUACGGGAGGCAGCAGUGGGGAAUUUUGGACAAUGGGGGCAACCCUGAUCCAGCCAUGCCGCGUGAGUGAAGAAGGCCUUCGGGUUGUAAAGCUCUUUCAGCCGGAACGAAACGGUUACGGUUAAUACCCGUGACUACUGACGGUACCGGAAGAAGAAGCACCGGCUAACUACGUGCCAGCAGCCGCGGUAAUACGUAGGGUGCGAGCGUUAAUCGGAAUUACUGGGCGUAAAGCGUGCGCAGGUGGUUUUGUAAGUCAGAUGUGAAAGCCCCGGGCUCAACCUGGGAACUGCGUUUGAAACUACAAGACUAGAGUGUGGCAGAGGGGGGUGGAAUUCCGCGUGUAGCAGUGAAAUGCGUAGAGAUGUGGAGGAACACCGAUGGCGAAGGCAGCCCCCUGGGUCAACACUGACGCUCAGGCACGAAAGCAUGGGGAGCAAACAGGAUUAGAUACCCUGGUAGUCCAUGCCUUAAACGAUGUCAACUAGUUGUCGGGCCUUUACGGGCUUGGUAACGUAGCUAACGCGUGAAGUUGACCGCCUGGGGAGUACGAUCGCAAGAUUAAAACUCAAAUGAAUUGACGGGGACCCGCACAAGCGGUGGAUUAUGUGGAUUAAUUCGAUGCAACGCGAAAAACCUUACCUACCCUUGACAUGUAUCGAAGCCCGCAGAAAAGCGGGGGUGCCCGAAAGGGAACGAUAACACAGGUGCUGCAUGGCUGUCGUCAGCUCGUGUCGUGAGAUGUUGGGUUAAGUCCCGCAACGAGCGCAACCCUUGUCAUUAAUUGCCAUCACUUAGUUGGGCACUUUAAUGAGACUGCCGG